rnacentral:tRNA from 1 species
UGCCGGUGUGGCGGAAUUGGCAGACGCGCACGACUCAAAAUCGUGUUCCUUAGGGAGUACCAGUUCGACCCUGGUCACCGGUAUC